rnacentral:tRNA from 1 species
GCACAGGUGGCCGAGUGGUUAAUGGCAGCAGACUGUAAAUCUGCCGCGCUAGUCGCUACGAAGGUUCGAAUCCUUCCCUGUGCACCA